UACGUAGGGGGCUAGCGUUGUCCGGAAUCAUUGGGCGUAUAGCGCGUGUAGGCGGUCCGGUAAGUCCGCUGUGAAAGUCGGGGGCUCAACCCUCGGAUGCCGGUGGAUACUGUCGGGCUUGAGUACGGAAGAGGCGAGUGGAAUUCCCGGUGUAGCAGUGAAAUGCGCAGAUAUCGGGAGGAACACCAAUUGCGAAGGCAGCUCGCUGGGACGUUACUGACGCUGAGACGCGAAAGCGUGGGGAGCAAACAGG
rnacentral:rRNA from 1 species